UUGCUUUAGUAGCAGAUAUAUUAAAUUGGAAUGAUACAGAGAAGAUUAGCAUGGCCACUGUGCAAGGAUGACAUGCAAAUUCAUGAAGUGUUCCAAAUAUAU
rnacentral:snRNA from 1 species